UAGACAGACAUUAGCAGGCUUGGGAGCCC
rnacentral:piRNA from 1 species